AUUGAACGCUGGCGGAAUGCUUUACACAUGCAAGUCGAACGGUAGAGGGGGCAACCCCUCGAGAGUGGCGAACGGGUGAGUAAUAUAUCGGAACGUGCCCAGUCGUGGGGGAUAACGUAGCGACAGUUACGCUAAUACCGCAUACGAUCUAAGGAUGAAAGCGGGGGAUCGCAAGACCUCGCGCGAUUGGAGCGGGCGAGAUCAGAUUAGGUAGUUGGUGGGGUAAAGGCUCACCAAGCCAACGAUCUGUAGCUGGUCUGAGAGGACGACAAGCCACACUGGAACUGAGACACGGUCCAGACUCCUACGGGAGGCAGCAGUGGGGAAUUUUGGACAAUGGACGCAAGUCUGAUCCAGCCAUUCCGCGUGCAGGAUGAAGGCCCUCGGGUUGUAAACUGCUUUUGUACGGAACGAAAAGGUCUCUCUUAAUACGGGGGACUCAUGACGGUACCGUAAGAAUAAGCACCGGCUAACUACGUGCCAGCCGCCGCCGUAA
rnacentral:rRNA from 1 species